UGGUGAUCUCACUAUGUUGAAAGGACAGGAUUUGAUGCAUGCCGUGUCAGUGGUGAUCACUGUUAUUGAGAUAGAUUUGCACCGAUGUCUGGGAGUUUGGACUGAAUGUUAAUAACAUACAAAGGUGACCUGCAAUAAAUACACAGCUCUGUCAGAAAGCUAGAGGUCUGCUUGGCAGAGAGAGUCAUCAUGGAUUGUGGCAGAUUCUCCUUCUGUCAAGGCUUAUCUGAAGGCUAAAUAAAUCAUGCUGGAAUCUUCUGGGAUGUUGGAAGAGAGGAAAAACCCUGAACACUCUGCGGCUUCUCUGAGAAACCCUAUCGAAGGGGAUGUGGAAUCCCAGAGCUACUCUUGCUAUCAACUCGCCGCAUGACCUUGGGAAAAUCAUUUCACCUGGUUCAGCAAUGAUUUACUGAGCUAUUGAAGGCCUUACUUUCCAGAUCCAGAUCCUUGUGCAUACAACUGACUUGUGUGGGUGAGGCUUGCAGAAAAAAUCAGCUAGAACAGCCUUGGGGGUAGUGGCAAGGUGGCCAGAGCAAUUGACUGGGAGCUGGGAACAGGAAUGAAGAGGAAGAGCUGAUAAGAAACAUGCCCAGAGCAGAUUUGAUGCUACUGCCAAUGUACCUGAAUAAGAAGACAACUCUUUCUGGAAAAAGGGAAAACUUGAAGGGCUAUUGAAGGCCGCUAGAAAGAUGGAGUUUCACUCUUGUCGCCCAGGAUGGAGUACAAUGGCAUGAUCUUGGCUCACUGCAACCUCUGCUUCCAGGGUUCAAGUGAUUCUCCUGCCUCAGCCUCCUGAGUAGUACAGAAGGAACUUUGGAUGUGGGAGAGAAAGAC
rnacentral:lncRNA from 1 species